rnacentral:misc_RNA from 1 species
UGGCUCUCGCAUCGAUGAAGAACGCAGCGAAAUGCGAUAAGUAAUGUGAAUUGCAGAAUUCAGUGAAUCAUCGAAUCUUUGAACGCACCUUGCACCCCUUGGUAUUCCGAGGGGUAUGCCUGUUUGAGUGUCAUCAAAUUAUCAACUCGAAAACCUUUUCUUGUGUUCUUCGAAGUUUGGACUUGGAGCGUGCCGGGCAUCGACCGGCUCCUCUUCAAAUGCAUCAGCGGAAAACUUUGGCUGAACUGAUCCCCAGCAUGAUAAUUAUCUGCGUUGCCGAUCUGUGAAGCGAAAUCCGCUUACAACCGUCUUCCGACAGGGGUUUCCUCCCCUUUUACAUGACAAUUUGACCUCAAAUCAGGUAGGACUACCCGCUGA